GUACAGGGUUAAGGGUGUAUUGAUGGUACAGGGUUAAUGGUGUAUUGAUGGUACAGGGUUAAGGGUGUGUUGAUGGUACAGGGUUAAGGGUGUAUUGAUUUUGUAGAGCGGUCUGAUGGUUCCAGGUGUUUGUUCAAAGUCUUGUCGGCCAUCUUGUGUCUGAGAUCCAUUAGGGUCAUGCGGUUUCUCUAAUCCUCAUUCACAUGUAAUGGCGCAGAUAGCAUGUGAAUGGACAGCCACAAACUGCAGAGCCGGCCGUUAGCACACACGCUAAUGAACCCUCACUUUGCAUAGGUAUUAAUAUGGCUAGCACUAGGCUUUAACACCACAAAAUGAUGAAAAAGUCAAGGGGUGUGAAAACUUUCUGAAGGCACAUGUGGGGGGUGGGGGCUUCCUGUCAGCAUCACCUACUACAUGUGGUGUCAAUAGAAGGAACAGUCGGGGGCAGGGCAGGCUGAUGGCAGUAUAAGAAGCAGAGGGGUGGAGGGAGCUUUGUCACUUUGCUCUCAUUCACAGAGACAAUCACUCUCUGGACAAACACCCACGACGGACACACACACUGAAGACACACACGGAAGACACACAUUCAUUAACUGAGAAGAGAUCCUGAGAGGGACCCACAGCACCACAUCAUCCUGCCCAGAGAGAGAGAGACUGAUUCCUGGGUAGAGAGAGGAGCUCCAGACCCUUCCUAUCCUGAGAGGGACCCACAGCACCACAGCAUCCUGCCCAGAGAGAGAGACUGAUUCCUGGGUAGAGAGAGGAGCUCCAGACCCUUCCUAUCCUGAGAGGGACCCACAGCACCACAGCAUCCUGCCCAGAGAGAGAGACUGAUUCCUGGGUAGAGAGAGGAGCUCCAGACCCUUCCUAUCCAGCCAUGAGGAUCAUCAGCCUACUGUACCUGCUGCUGCUGCUGCUAGUAACUGUUCUAGGAUCAGUUUCUGCAGUGAGACCAGACAUCUUGAACAUACGGAGAAGGUACCACAGACACCACUGCCCCCACCGUCGCUGCAUGCCCCUGCACUCCAGAGUACCAUUCCCCUGAGGUGUAACAGAGUGAACAUGGAGGUAAGAGAGAAGAGGAGAAUCUCUGUGACAUCCUCACCCCUCCUCUUCCCCCCACAAGACACCACACACACCUGUGGGGACACACCUGUGGGGACACACCUGUGGACAAGAGACACGGAGUGCGGAAACACGGCGCUGAAGGACUGAACACUGAGCGAGAGACAUAGCCUGUGCUGAGACUGGGAGUUUGGGUAGAGAGGAGAGAGAGGACUACUGCUGCUGCUGUUGAAUAGACAAAGAUCUGAACUGGAGUCACUAGACUACCUGCCUUCCUGCUCACAUCACUUCAUAUACAUACCACCGCCAUCUAUCUGGGUACUGAGACAUUUAUACUAUAUACCACAGUUCCAAGACAUUUAUACUAUAUACCACCGUUCCAAAACAUUUAUACCAUAUACCACAGUUCCAAAACAUUUAUACUAUAUACCACCGCCAUCUAUCUGGGUACUGAGACAUUUAUACUAUAUACCACAGUUCCAAGACAUUUAUACUAUAUACCACCGCCAUCUAUCUGGGUACUGAGACAUUUAUACUAUAUACCACGGUUCCAAGACAUUUAUACUAUAUACCACCGUUCCAAAACAUUUAUACUAUAUACCACAGUUCCAAAACAUUUAUACUAUAUACCACCGCCAUCUAUCUGGGUACUGAGACAUUUAUACUAUAUACCACAGUUCCAAGACAUUUAUACUAUAUAACACCGCCAUCUAUCUGGGUACUAAGACAUUUAUACUAUAUACACAACAGUACCAAAACAUUUAUACUAUAUACCAUAGUACCAAGACAUUUAUACUAUAUACCACAGUUCCAAGACAUUUAUACUAUAUACCACAGUACCAAAACAUUUAUACUAUAUACCACAGUACCAUCUGGGUACCAUAAAAACUACAGCUCAGACUUAUACAAUAUACAGAAUAAGUGUUUUUAUGGGAGAAAUGCACUUCAAAUGUACAGUAUGUUCCAGUUAAUGACCUGUUAAUAAUAAAACAA